AAUCAAGCAACAAUUCUACUAGCUUUCAUCUACAUUUCGCCCAAGAAAUUAUAGUAAAGCAUAGACAAUGAGAGGAACAUUGAUGUUGAGUUGGAUUCUGAUCAUCUGCCUCUCCCUCGUAGCAGUGCAGAGCCAAUACUACUCGAAGACCCUACCAUAUCAUCCCAGGCCAGUUAAGGUCACCAAACUUCACUUCUUUAUGCACGAACAUACGGGUUACAGCAGUCCAGGUAGCCCAAGCUAACAUCACAAGCAAUAAUUCAUCAGUGCCACUUGCCACCCUAGUUUCCGUUAAUGAUCCCCUCAGGACUGGUCCUGAGCCUGACUCGAAGGUAAGCAUAGAGGAGUGAAAGGAGCAAAAAAUUAGCCAAAA